rnacentral:RNase_P_RNA from 1 species
UGAGUAAAUCUGGUGAUCGCGGGUACCAGUGCCGAAAGGCGGUGCCCGAGGAAAGUCCGAGCUCCAUAGGGCAGGGUGCUGGGUAAUCCCCAGUGGGGGCGACCCCAAGGAAAGUGCCACAGAAAUAAACCGCCAAUUUGAGAGGUGGGAAGUGAGAGGUUAGAGUUGGCAGAGGCGAAGGGUAAUUAUUUCUCACGUCCAACUUCUCAAUACCCACUUCUCAAGUGGUAAGGAUGGAACGGUGCGGUAAGAGCGCACCAAAUUUUUGAAAAGCCGGCCGGCUAGGUAAACCCCACCUGGAGCAAGACCGAAUAGAGGAGCAUAGGGGCGGCCCGCUCCGCUCCCGGGUAAGGUCGCUUGAGGCGGCUGGUAACAGUCGUCCCAGAUAGAUGAUCAUCCACGACAGAACUCGGCUUACGAUUUGCUCACUUG